GAUGAACGCUAGCGGGAGGCUUAAUACAUGCAAGUCGAGGGGCAGCACGGGACUUCGGUCCUGGUGGCGACCGGCGCACGGGUGAGUAACGCGUACACGACCUACCUUUGAGAGGGGGAUAGCCUUGGGAAACUGAGAUUAAUACCCCAUAGCAUUACUGUUAAUAAAUGAUGGUAAUUAAAGCUCCGGUGCUCAAAGAUGGGUGUGCGUAUGAUUAGAUAGUUGGUGAGGUAACAGCUCACCAAGUCGACGAUCAUUAGGGGGCGUGAGAGCGUGGCCCCCCACACGGGUACUGAGACACAGACCCGACUCCUACGGGAGGCAGCAGUAAGGAAUAUUGGACAAUGGGCGCAAGCCUGAUCCAGCUAUCCCGCGUGCAGGAUGACGGCCCUAUGGGUUGUAAACUGCUUUUGUAAGGGAAGAAACCCCUGGAUUUAUCUGGGGCUGACGGUACCUUAAGAAUAAGCACCGGCUAACUCCGUGCCAGCAGCCGCGGUAAUACGGAAGGGGCUAGCGUUGUUCGGAUUUACUGGGCGUAAAGCGCGCGUAGGCGGCGGACCAAGUUAGGCGUGAAAGCCCUGGGCUCAACCCGGGAACUGCGCUUAAGACUG
rnacentral:rRNA from 1 species